rnacentral:rRNA from 1 species
GACGAACGCUGGCGGCGUGCUUAACACAUGCAAGUCGAGCGGUAAGGCCCUUUCGGGGGCGACACGAGCGGCGAACGGGUGAGUAACACGUGGGUGACCUGCCCUCCAGCUCUGGGAUAAGCCUGGGAAACCGGGGUACUAAUACUGGAUAUGACUCCAUGACGCAUGUUGUGGGGUGGAAAGCCUUGUGCGGCUGAGGAUGGGCCCGCGGCCUAUCAGCUUGUUGGUGGGGUGGAUGGCCUACCAAGGCGACGACGGGUAGCCGGCCUGAGAGGGCGA